rnacentral:rRNA from 1 species
CUUGAACCUGACUAAGUACCGAAUGUGUCGCAAGAUGAAAGAUUUAUUGCCUAGAGAUGAGCUCGCGUCUGAUUAGCUAGUUGGUGGGGUAAAAGCUUACCAAGGCGACGAUCAGUAGCUGGUCUGAGAGGAUGAUCAGCCACACUGGGACUGAGACACGGCCCAGACUCCUACGGGAGGCAGCAGUGGGGAAUUUUCCGCAAUGGGCGAAAGCCUGACGGAGCAACGCCGCGUGAGGGAGGAAGGCUUUUGGGUUGUAAACCUCUUUUCUCAAGGAAGAUAGUGACGGUACUUGAGGAAUCAGCAUCGGCUAACUCCGUGCCAGCAGCCGCGGUAAUACGGAGGAUGCAAGCGUUAUCCGGAAUAAUUGGGCGUAAAGCGUUCGUAGGUGGUUUUGUAAGUCUGCUGUUAAAGCGUGUAGCUCAACUACAUAUAGGCAGUGGAAACUACAAAACUUGAGUGCGUUCGGGGCAGAGGGAAUUCCUAGUGUAGCGGUGAAAUGCGUAGAGAUUAGGAAGAACACCGGUGGCGAAAGCGCUCUGCUAGGCCGCAACUGACACUGAGGGACGAAAGCUAGGGGAGCGAAUGGGAUUAGAUACCCCAGUAGUCA